rnacentral:lncRNA from 1 species
CCUUUGUCAACAUUGGAAGUGAACAAGAUUUCUGCACAGAGAUUUUUCUUGGUCAAGAGUGCGACAUGAACUGUGGAUAUGAACUUUACUGUCAGAUGAACAUUGGAAGUGAACAAGAUUUCUGCACAGAGAUUUUCUCUGGUCAAGAGUGCAACAUGAGCCAUGGAUAUGAACUUUACUGUCAGAUGUACAUUGAUUGGAAAGUGAACAAGAUAUCUGCACUGAGAAUGAACGAAGUUGAAGAAAGUUGAAAGGCACCCCUGAAGAACCUGAAUUAUUUUAGCCCUAUCCUAGAUUCAUUAAUUAAUAUAUUUUAGUGUGUGAUAACAUAUGUGAAAUGUGAUCAAUUAUGUGACAAUUUUCAAGCUUGGAUUUAUAAAGAGAAAUUUUUCUUUGUAAAGUUUAAGAAGUAAACCUUUU